rnacentral:lncRNA from 1 species
GGGCUGUGUGCAGGAGGAGCAUCGAUCGGGCAGGGUGGAUGUGGGCUGGGGCAGCCCCGGGUCCCAGGCCCUGCAACGGUGUGCAGGGCGGGAGUGCCCAGUCGGGCUGCAUUCCCAGGUGCACGGCGUGCCACUGAGCUGCUCACGUAGCUGCCACCAUCUGUGCUGGGCCCAGCCGAGACGCAGAACCUCGUGGACAUGACCUAGGAAGACCCAGACAGUGUGCCCCACGGAUGUCCUGGAUCAAAGGGACCCAGGUUGGUGAUUACUUCUACUCCUUUGGCGGCUGUUAUUGGCACGCAGCCUACCGGUAGCUGCAGCAAGGGCCAUCCUGGACAAGCUUGUGCAGUCCACCCUCUCGGACCUCAGGGUGUACCUGGGGGCAUCCACGCCAGACUUG